rnacentral:lncRNA from 1 species
CCAACCAAUCUGAAUUCAGAGAAUUCUUGUAAUCACAGACUUCCUUUGUCGAAACACACACAUACAACUCUCAAUAAACAACAAUCAUAAUCUUCCAUCCAUAAUCAAUCUUCCAAUAACUUCUCAUAUAAUUCAAUCACUCAGUACUCAAAUUACAUAAUCAAUAACUCAUAAAUCAAUCUCUAAUUUAUUCCACAGAUUCACUUCUCAGUAUUCAGAAACUAUCCAUUACUCUUCAACAACAAAGAAAACAAAAAAAAUAAAGAGGAAGCACCAAGCUUAACCUUGGCUCAUGACUAUCACAGUCUCGCCCUCCAACAAACUUCUACAACUCCUUUAUAAUUGCUACUGAUUUCAAGAUUCUAACCGAAAUCCUAUAGUUAACCGCUUUUAAUAACUAAAUCAACCAUCCGUCCUCCUGAACUAACUAUUCUAUGGACUAUUAGUUUAUUUUACCAAUAUCUUACAAAAACAAACUAAUAUCUAUUCUACAUAGUCCCACUCCUAUCUGUGUAGUGUCCUCGCAAAUACACAAUGGAUACCUAUCUACAAACUACUUAACAAAACUCUACAAAAUUAUUAAUUUCUCUGAUCCACCCAAUUAAACAUUUGCUACAUUAUUGAAUUUAGGUUCCACCGAUUCUGGUUCUAAAUUCAAAUUUUUCUCCUCCUCCAAUCCGUCCAUCGACUCCUUCAUCAACUGGUUUGAGAGAUCUUCAUUAUACUCACCCAAUUCAUGGACUUGAGCCUCUAGUUUCAAGUUCUGGGCAUCCCGAAGUUCCAAUUGAUGCUGUUGCUGACUCAUCCAUUCUGAAACAUCUUCAAUUGAGACUUGUGAUUGGCUUCUCACUAUUAACUCUUUUGUCAAUUUUGCCACCUCAGCUUAUAAAAAUUCAAUUUCAGACCUCAACUUCUGUAUUUUAUAUCUGGAUUGGUCACUCAAUGCUUCUUUCUCUUUCAUCAAUAACUUUGCCUCAUCUCCUUACACCUGCAACUGACAUUUGAGUUUCUCCCGUUCCAAAUCUUAUGUCUUGCGAUUUUAGAUCAAUUCGUUUUGUUGUCCUUCCACAAUCCGUAAGAUGUGUUCAUUUUCUUUCGUCUAAGAUUCAUAUUGGUGAACCCAUUUCCAUUCCAAUACCAGCUUGAAUUCCUCAAUUUCAUUUAUCAUCCGUUCUUGCUCUUCAAUUCUUUGGUUUUGCUCUAAUAUCACCUUCUUAAUGUCCUCUAAAUCUCGUUUGCUACUGCCCUCUACGUCCAAUGCUCGCACCAUACAAUGUAUUUGUGAAAUGUGCUUCAAUAAAGCAUUCUUAAGAAGUAUUCCUUCGGGCAAUCGAUCUUAUGGAAAUACCAACUAAUUAAUAUCCAUCAAAAUUGGGGUUUCAUUCUCUUCCUCCACCGCUAAACAAAUUAGAAUCCGUUUUGAUUCAAUAACUCGAACGAUUCCUUGUGCCACUGUACGACUUGAUUCCCCAAUUUCGUGUAUUACAUCCGCUGUAUUAACAUUUUGUGCCAACAAAUUUCAUUCUCUCUGAGGAGGCACUAGCACUAAUACAUGACUUUCUUCUACUGGCGAUGUUUGAUGCAAUGUGUGCGCAAUCACAGAAUACACAUAAUUAGAACAAAACAAAUAAGUGAAUUUUUCCAAUUUCCACUUGGUUCCUAUCUCCGCAUGAAUACAAGUAGCUACAUAUGCUACCCAGUUGAACACCAUCCCUUCUAAUGCCCCUACUGCUGCAUACAAUAACCGUUUGGACAUAUAUGUGGGGUGUCGGUACAAUUCUAACCGCCUCACCACAAAACAGAACCAUUCCACGAGUUCUGGUGAAAUUGCCUUAGCAGUCCACCAACCUUGGUUCCUCUCAAAGGUCGACAUACCUCCCUUGAAAUAUCUUCCUAGACUAAAGUCGCUUGAGUCAUCAACUCCUACCGCAAUUUCUCCAAUAGGAAGACAUCACACCUUUUCUAGGAUUAUUCCAUCAAUCUUGAUAAUUCGUCCUUGUACCACAUUUGAUCCAUCCUUUGGGUCAUAGUUUGUGAUAUAUUCCUCUACUAAUGACACAUUAAUUGAUGGUAAAUGAUCUGACAGGUGCAAAAACUGGAACAACUACGCAUUCCGAAAGUCUUUUAUUUUUUUCGGCGUUCAACAAAUAUUCAACUUCAUCGGUUCUAUAUUGGUAAUGAUUAUCAGAGAAGGUGGUUUUGAUAUGCAUCUAGCUCUCAUGUUUUUGCCAUUGUCUUCUUUGUUUGUAGCUCGCUUUGCACUUUCAAUUGCCAUAACGCUUCCUCUCUCAAACUCUUUACUAGAACUACUACGCUCAAAAAUAUAAGAAAGACAAGAAAUAUCAAUCUUAGAAAACAACCAAGAACGACAACACAGAAUGACUUCUAAGUGGUGCCCCACUCCUAUUCUCUUACUACCGGUGAUCAUGACAACAUGUUAUCCAUAUUGUCCGUUUUUCACCUCCGUCCCAUCUGACACAUUAAUAAUUACUAACUAUCUUUUCAGCCGCCUCUACACCCUAACACACUUAUACCAUACUUAGGUCUAUCUUGUGUCGAUGAAAGGUAAUGGAAAGUAAUCUUUCUUGGUGGCUGCAUUAAGUUUCUAGAAAUCCUAACAAAUACGGAUUUUUCCAUUCUUUUUUGGCACCAUGAUGAUUGAAGAAAUCCACUCGCUAUUCGGUACUGGAUAAAUAAAACCAACUACAAGAAGCUUGUCCAAUUCCUCCUUCACCAUGAGGAAAUAUUUAAGAUUAAGGCAAUGUUACCUUUGUCGUAUUGGUUUAGCGUUCUCUUCUAAAAUGAUACGAUGCUCUUAGACAUCAGCAGGAAUAUCCUUUAAAUCAGCAUAAGUCCAAACAAAAGGAGACUUAUGAUGCAAGAAAAAUUCUAUCCAACAGGUCAACUCCUGGUCCUUAAUAUCUUCGUAAAUCUUAAUUGUACGUGACUCUGCUAUGGUCGCCAAGUUAAUAGUUUGACAUAUAGGUGCAAUGGCGAUGUUUUGUUUCAAUCCCCACACUGGUUGAAAAUCACUCGGUAAGUCUGACAUGUGCAAAGUACUGAAUCCUGUGUCAAGGGCACUAACAUGGUGCAUAUCAUACUUGGUCAUUCAAUCAGUACUAACAUAAUCAGAGCUUUCUGAAUCUGUUGGAUAUAUCAAGUACUCCUCCGGACCUCUACAUUGGUAUACCACUCCAGGGUAUUGUGGUACCUCUAUGGACGCCUCUGUAAAUGGUGUGACUUCGUCAUCAUCGGAGCUAAGCUCAUCGUUUGACGUCAAUUCUCUUGCUGACAAUUGAGACUCCCCAUGAUAGCGUACUGGAUACAUUUGUAAUACCAUUUUAUUGCCGCCUUUGCCAAUUGUCAAAGUAUCCCGACCCCAAUCGUUCUUGACCUUUGCCUGAUAAAGCCAAGGUUGUCCCAAUAAAAUUGGAUAUGAUAAAGUUGAAUUUUAUAGCCGAAAGAUGAUAUAGUCAAUUGCAUAUGCAAUACCAUCAAUUAUAGUUUGAACACUCCAUAAAAUAUCCAUUGAUUUAACUCGGCUAUGAUUUACCAUCCGUAAUAUCAAUAUCAUGGAUACUAAGUGUUCCAAAUCUAAAGCAUCCAUUGUAUCAGUGUUCAUUAAAUUGACACUGGAACCACCAUCCACCUGAACACCCGAGAUCAUAAUACCAUCAAUCGAAACAUUGAUGGGUGGUGCACCAGGGUCAGGGUUCAGAUUGACUUCACAAACUUCGUUAUUAUGUUGCCUAUGCCAUGUUAACGAUGAAUUCAAUGUAAAACGAUAUUUGGGUGCAACUGCUAGAAGUUGCUUCAUAGAAAUAAAAGGCCGAAUAGCAUCCAGAUCCUUCAAUAUAUCAUAGGGUUCCAUAUUUAAGAUAAUGACCAAUGCCCUCUUUCUUUUCAUUGGUUGGAGUUUAAUUCCUUGAGGUAAGAUAUUCUUCCGCCCUGGACUUGGAAUUAGAACAGCAGACGGAUUUUUUUUGGAAUUCCUGUCUCUAAGAGGAUCUUUCACUGGAAAGGAUGUUUUCCGUAAUAGUAUAGAGAAUGGAACAUCUUGAAAUGGAUCCUAAGCCUCCGUAAUCGAUACCUCAUUGGGUAGCCCAACCGAGCCAGGUCUCAUACUGGGUAAGAGGGGCAUAAUAGGACCUAGAUUGGAUGUCUCCAUAAUUGGGUCACAUUGGCCGUUUGCUUCAAGAUCACCCAAAUGUUGAAUUGGUCCUUUCCCUUUUUACUGACUCUUGAUAAGCAUGUUGUCAUAUGGCGUGAUUUGCUAUCUGAAAAUACACUGGGUAUCUAGCUAUAGAGAGUGUACCUUAAACCUUUAUAUGAUUCUUUUUUUGGCUUCCAAAACUCCUUUAUUUUUGUAUAAAACUCCAAAUAUAACAAAAUCCCUUCAAAACAUAUUUUUCCCGCAAAGGGUUUUCUCGCCUCAAACUUUAGAAAAUCAUAACUAUUGAUCUAACCGUUCAGUUUGUUUCAAAUUUACAAGAUAGGUUAAAUUUACCCUCAACUUUUACCACAAAAAAAAACCAACCGCAAAUUCACUCCCGAUCUUCUGACAUCUAAGAAACCCUAGCAGACACUCCAAACACUAAUUUACAAGCACCUGAAAAACUAUUUUCCUUAUAUCUCAAAAACCCGAACUCCAAAUGUCAUAAUACUUAUGUACAAAGUUUACUAACAUGAAAUUACACAUUCCUUGAAAUUUUGAUCCAAAACCUUGUCAAAUUGCUCAAGAUAUAGCUCAAGAGACAAACACUAGUAAAUCGGUUUACUUACUACCCUUAGAUUGCAUGUGCUGACUUCAAAAUCCAAUAACUUCUUCAUCCCAACUUAGAAUCCAGUAAGCAGUAUGUGAAAAGUAUAGCCGCAAAAGUGCUUUCUCCAGUCGCGGUCGCCGAUCCUCAAUUCCUGUCUGUAUGCGUGCGUUAUGCCCAAAAGAGUGACAGUAGGUCCAAAACUAAUACCUUAACUUUGAGCGCCUGUAACUUCUUCAUAAAAACCCCAAAUGACACAAAACUUGCACCAAAACCUUAAUCAAAAACCUAAACCUUCUGACCUUAGCCUUCAAUGUUCGAAUGGCCUCGAGAAACUAACCCUAAUCCCUAAUAUGGCCUCGGGCAGCCUCCUCAAAGCCCAUUGGUCAUGAUUUUUGACCAAUAGGAAUGGAGAUUUUUAUUUUUCAUCUCCAUUCAUCUAUAUUGGUGCCCUAAUUACUCCCUUUGCUACCAAAAUCCUUCUUCAAUCCUUUUUCUUAUAAGAUUUAUAUAAUGUAUGCUCUAAACACCAAAUAAAAGAACCAAAAUAAGUUUUCAAAUGUCACCAAUGUCUAACAAAGGUGACUCUAAAUAUUUAGAAGUUACUAUUAACCAAAACCAAUCUUAAAAGCCAUUAUCAAAAGGAAAUUAAAGUUAUACAAAUUCUAUAGUAAUCUUUUUAAACAACCUCUUCUCAAAGUAAUAAUCAAAUUAUAUUCUACAACCAACUAAAAUCUACUAAUAUGGCUCUCACCAUGUUACUUAAUAAAUUAUAUAUUAAGUACAUAAUUACAUUAUUUUCAUAUAGUAACCGAACCACAACACGACAAUGUCUUGGACACAUUCUACCUGAUUUAUCAAAGAAUCUUGAGGACCUUGAUUUAUCUCCUCUAUUUUUCAUUGGUUUUGGAUCUCCAGAUCCCGAUUAUUGAAAUUGAAUGAAGCAUUACAUUGCUAAUAAAUAUGCCCCAACUGCUUGUAAUUCCUACAAACUGGUGCAUAAUCGUCACUAGCUUUAGGAUUUAGACAUUCACUGGCAUAAUGGCCAAUCUGUUUGCAACGAAAACAACGAAGUGGUCUUCUUGCACCUCCAUCAGGAAUAUUGGGUAUCUCCACCAGUGUAUACCUACUAGGCUUGUUCCAUGUAGGAUUAGAAAAUGAUCUUGGUUGUCUCGUUGGAAUGGAGGGAAUUUGGUUCGAUGAUGUUGGUAGAGCAUAUUGCUGAUACCUCUACUACUCCUUCCCGUAGUUUUGGGGGUUUGAUGCAGACCUCUGAUUAAAAUUGGAACUUUGAAAAUUAUUGAAUGCUCAAUUUUGUCAAUUAGAUCGAUUUCCAUUCCAUCCAAACAUAUUUUUUGAUUGAACUUGAUUGAUGUCCCAAAGAGUUGGUGGGAUCAUGGUCUGAUUAGUGAAUUAUUGUUGCUUUUGAAAAUUCCAACAAUUAGCUGUUAAGUGCUUUCCUCCGCAAAAUGUACAUUGAUCCAUCAUUUGUGAGGGUGAAGGACAUUUUGUUACCAAAUGACCGUGGCCCUUACAAUUAUUGUACCAAAUAAUGGUCUUAAUAUUGGUAGGAUUUUGCUUCUUCCCCUUAUCCUUGGCCAUAUUGAUGGCCAUUUUGUCCAUUUUCUUUGUCAGAUUCAACAACAAGGCUUCAUUGGAAUCUUUUGGGGUUGGUAUUAUUGGUAAUUCUGCCAUAGUUAACGCUUGUUGUUGAUACGAAAAAUAUGGAGCAUACACUAUUGUCAUGUUCGGUGGCAUAGCUUGCAAUGGGGUGACAUUAACUGGCCCCUGAAUAUUGGCACUGGAAUUGCUCUUUGUAUCUAACAUCCAUGGAUAAGCAUCCACUUAUUCGUUCCAAGUUGAAUUUUGAUAACUACCUUGUAUUGGAAUCAUCGCAGCUCCCGUAAUUAAAAACUGAUCAUAAUGGCAUUUCUUCCAAACCUUGGCUCUAUUAAGGCAUGCAGACACUGUAACGGGUUGAGCUUCUUUCACAAACAUUUUUAACUCUGGUGGUUGCAAACCAUUAAUUAAUAUGGAUAAGAUAAAUACCUCCGGCAUUUGGUGAUUUGGCCACUUAUUAAGUAUAUUAGCCACGCAGCCAUAAUACGAUUCCACCGCCUCUCAUAAGAUCAUUUUCCUGUUCAUUAACCUCUCUCAAAGACGAUCCUCAAAACCUAUUGGCUGAAAUGGGUUAAAAAUACAUUCUUCAAUACUUCAAAAUUCAGAAAUUGAUCCAUUGAUUGGCGGUUGUAUCAUUCAAACCCCGUAUCCUUUAAGGUUGUUGGCAACCAUCGUAACCAAAUAUCUUCAAUUUUUCCAUUAUUGGCUACACAUGCUAUCAAAAACUAAGACACAUGUUGAUCAGGAUCCACACUAGAAAAGCUCCUAAAAAUAGGUAAUAGAGCCACGCUCAUUGUGCAAUCACUCAUGUCACCUAUUUGUAUUACUAUUGGAACCGUUGAACCACCCAUCGCCAUUGAAGAGGAUAAUGUGCCACUUAAUCUCUUAUUAAAAUUACCACUGCCUUUUUCAAUUGUCUUUUCUAGACUUUCCAACUUCCUCAAUUUACUAUUAUUAUCCCUGAAUAAGUUUAUUAGUUGAAUUAGAGGUGAAAACAAUGGAUUUUGAAAUACACUGAAUUGGCCCUUAUUGGCAAGCAAUUUAUGCCAUUCUAUGAAACCAGUUUUUAUAGAAUCAACAGUUUUUACUAUUGAAAAGGUAUCCAACAGAGUACCCAAUUCUUUUGUAUUUUCUCCACUUGUAGUUAACGAGCUCAAGAGAUACACUGGACUUUUGAUAAAAUUUCCUGCGAAUACUCUUGGCAAUUUUCUUAACGGUAUAUAUGUCUGAAAUAUUAGAGAUCGGUCAGCUUUUGGAUAUGCUCGGAUAUGCCGACAAGCAUGCAACCAUGGCUUAAUCCAACUUUGUCGACACUUCCUUUUUAACUUACAUUCUUGUUCAUUUUGCAACGAUUCUCUUGCUUGCGCUCUCUCUUGUCUUUCUUUCGACUGGCAUAUUUUCUUUACUGCAAUAUUUUCAUUCUUAAUAAUGAUAAUCUUUCAUUACAUACUGCUGAAUUUGCUUCCUAUUUUCCAGCUACUCAUCUAGCAAUUAAUUCCUAACACUCAAUGCUAUUGUCAUUCCUCGACAACGGCGCCAAAAUGUGAUUGUCAUUUUACUUAUUCUACAAUUCCUUCUAGAAUAAACAUGUAUAGGAGAAUUCAAACUUAGGGAAAGACUAAGCGCAUGAAUUUUACUUGUUAGGGUCACACAAUUAACUAUAUUCCGAACCACUAGAACACUAAGAAAUACUACAAUGCUUCCUCCCAGUAACAAUACUCGUUCAUUAACUGAUAACCACAAUGUACAACCCUGUACUCUCAAAAGACCGCUCAAAACUCAAUAAAUUCCAUCCAACACGAGGAAUAAUAGACUUCACUCCAACCAAUUUGAAUUCACAGAAUUCUUGUAAUCACAGACUUCCUCUGUCGAAACACAUACACACAACUCUCAAUAAACAACAAUCAUAAUCUUCCAUCCAUAAUCAAUCUUCCAAUAACUUCUCAUAUAAUUCAAUCACUCAGUACUCAAAUUACAUAAUCAAUAACUCAUAAAUCAAUCUCUAAUUUAUUCCACAGAUUCACUUCUCAGUAUUCAGAAACUAUCCAUUACUCUUCAACAACAAAGAAAACAAAAAAAAUAAAGAGGAAGCACCAAGCUUAACCUCGACUCAUGACUAUCACAGUCU